GCGUGAGCAUAGUGUAGUGGUUUGAACGUUGGACUACAACUCUGGAGACCAGGGUUCAAAUCCUUGCUCAGCCA